ACCUGCAGCAACAAGGAGAAGUUAGCCCCAACUCGUAAGGAAGGAGAUGUUCUGGGAACACCACGACCUUUCUACCUGCUCUCCCCACGCCAAGGCCAACGUGCUAAUUCAGCACCCAUCCUCCUUCCCAUUUCUGCCUUCCCUUUGGGGACAAAAAUCACACCCACAAGGCACGGACUGGGGUUAUUCUGCUCUAAAACGGAUGGCACUGAUGCAGUACUCACGUGGAGGAGGAGAGAUUGUGCUAACAGCCCAAGGUACGAAGCAGUUCACUUACCUGAGCAAAGCGAGGCACCAAACCCCGGUUUCUUCAGUGCUGCUGGAAGCCAGCCAGCCUCCCCAUGCCCAUUUAACAGCACAACGGCCAGCUCGAGCCUCCCCCAGCCUUGGCUUCACUCCUCUAUACUUUUGCCCAGGUUUUCUGUCUGAACUCCCAUUUUGUAGCCUACCUGUGGCUUAAAUAAGCCGCAUUCCCCACUCCUGGACUCAGCACAAAUACCAGCUCCGUACGCUGAGGACGGGUUGCGCUGAUCAGGCUACGUGGAUUUUUUUUCUUCUCAGCGUGAUUUUUUUUUUUCCCCCAAACAGAUCAACUUCGCUGCUUCCUCUUAAUGUGAGGAGCAAACACAGGCCCCAGCUGCAUUAACAGCCACAAAGGUAACAAGCCUUUGGAGUUUUUCCCUCCCACUUAGAGCUUUGUGAAUCUGUCGCCUGUGAAACUGCAGAAGGACAGAUCCCCACCAAAGCGACAUCCCACAAACUGGGCAACGAGGCAUCCAGACCCUGACCCACAGCAGCACGAAGGACAGAGCCCCUCUGGAAGUAACGUUUAUCAGACUGCAACCCUGAGCCAACUUCCCCUCCCAGCACGCCAACCCAUGAGAAGCUGCAUCACACUAAAUGAAGUCAUCAAGCGAUGUGUUGACGAGUGGUGAUGUGAGCCAGCCAGGCAGGGGGCUGAAUGUUAGUGAUUUCGUAACCCCUUUCACUCCCAGACAAGCCUGGAAAUCCCAAAUAACCCAGCAGUGAUGCAGAGAAGACACGGAAGAGAUGCGCCAGCACUGGGCUGUGCACGUACCUGCAGGAACUCAACUGUUUUGUCUGGGAGCUUGGUGCCAAUGUACCGCAAGGUCUCUUUGUGGAACUUGCUCUGUAGGUGUUUUUGGAUCUCCUCUUCCUCAAAACUGCGGAACUUGCACACAGAACAGGCGAACUGGAUCCUGAACAGAGCAAUUGCAUGCAAGUGAGCUGAACUUUUAAUGGGAACAUCAAGAUCACAGCUGCUACUGCCCCAACUGUACUUUUUUUUUUUUUCUCCAAAAUGCACUGCCACAGUUUUACUCUGUGGCAGUUCUUUGUGAUCACUGUGUAACCCCCACUGAACAAGGAGCAUCUACAUCUCCCCAAAACAGGUCGUUACACCACAGGAGAGGAUGCAAAAUCCCACACAAGUUUAAAAACAGGUGGACAAACUCAAACCGCAGGAGAUUAAACAGAUGUAAAAAUACUCUCCCUAGUUUGGGACAGCCCUGAGAUACAGAACCACAGCUGCCACCUUAAGCUGUCUUUUGGUGAUUUAUGGCAUUACUGUCAUAGCAAGGCUGCUUGUAUAGCCACUUAAUAUUCCCUUCUGAAUUUGUAACUCUACACUGAGCUAUGUAUCAAACAGCAUGGUAUUCCCAUCUUAGAGCAGUCCUAAGACAUGCAUAAGGGGGAAAAAAAAACCACAAAACUGCUGGAAUCAGAAUGCAGAGCCCCAAAACGUGAUUCCCCAGACAGGCUUCUUGCAGAGGAAGGUCUGAGGUAAAUAUUACAACGUGCGAUCGCUCACAGAAACACUGGGAACAGACUAGGCUAUCACUCUUCCUACCUGUCCAUGGCACGGUCACGCAUCCUAUCUCUUCGCCGCUGCUUCUCCCUCUUCUUUUUCACCUCUUCAUCAUCAUCUUCGCAGCCAUCUCCAGAUGCUAGGGGGAAGGAAAAAAUAAGAAUAAAAAUCUCGGAGUUGCUGUGUAAGAGCUCAUGGUUUACUGGCUGAGGUAUUUCAGGACCAAGUUCCUGAAGCUGAGAGUAAAGAGGAAGCGAAGAAGGAACUUCUGGCCUGCCUCCAGCAGUUGCCGUAAAACCCAAACCCUCCCCUCCUCCAGCUCCCUCAAAUUCCCAGAGCAACUUGAGUCUUGGGAGGCAGCGACAGGACGUGCCCUUACUGGAAAGGGCAGUCACAAACAGUCAUUUACUUCCACAGCGCCACAGAGGCAUGCUGCCAAGACACCUCUCUGACUCACUUUUUGGGAGAGAAUUUUUUCUCCCUGUAUUCUCAUUUUUCCCCCAACCACCUGUUUCUCACAAGGCUGAAAAAGCUACUUUAAAAGGUUAAGCAACAGAAGCACAGAUGUUAGUAGUGCUAACAUCGCGGCUCUGCUUCCUUAGAACAGUUUCAGACUUGUUACGCCUUCCCAAUAAUCUCGAGAGUUGUCAGGAAAACAGGCGAGACCGAGAGAUUCAGCUGACCUAAUCUUGGCAAUAUUUUAGGUGAGAAAGCUACAAGCACUGGGUCAGAGGUUUAUCAGCCCCACGGGACAACGCCUUCAGGUGAAAGAAGCACAGAGACCAGUCCUAGUCAGGAUGCAGUCAGCAGUGGGAGGCUUGAGCAAGAACUUUAACACCCAGCCACGCUUCUUUCAAUCCCAAGCAUAAUCCAGAAGCGCCAACAUCACUCACUGAGGCUUCUGCAAGUCACCAUAACGCAGAAAGCACAGCAUGUUUGGGGCUGACGUGUCUUUACCAAAAAGGACAAUCCAACGUCAGCAGAAGCAGUUUCAGCUCCUUUAGAGCAUGUGGGUUUUAAAAUUGCCACCCUGAUAUCCUGCCAUGUAUCCCUGUAUAUCCUGGCGGGAGCUGCAUCAGCUUUUGAUGGAAAAAAAAUAAAAAUCAAACUCUGGGCAGUGCCUGAAGGCGAGGCAGGCAGCAAGGUGGAGUGUGUCCAGCUCACACACUGGGGGAGCCACCCUACCUUCCUCUGCGAAGUCAGCACAACUCCCAUUCUCCUGGAAAACAGAAAGAGAAAAGGAGGCCGCUGUCAUGUGCUGCCAUCUGGAGGUGUCGUCCACCCAGCCACUGGCAGAGCUGGUGAAGGACGAGGAGAUUUCACCCCCCUGCUGACGCAGGGACGGAGUGCCGACAUUCACAACCACCACCCCCAAAUCGUCAGCUGGCACAGGUGGCUACACAUCACUGGGGAUAUCACUCCUGGCCAUCAAAAUGUAAAUAUUCCACGCCUGAGUCACUGUCUGAGGAGCGCCUUGCAAGCCCCCUUCCCCCCCCCCCCCCCAAACCUGGCAAAGGAGUAAAGGAAACUACCACUAAUUGGGACUUCCGCCUAACGAGCCUCGCAGGUAGAGCCAGAAGCAUUAGGACAUGAGCAUUAGGAUCCCAAACUCCCCACUCCAGGGCUCUCAGCACCUUGGCACAGGCACCUCAACACAGAUCAAUCUGCCAGUAAUCCUUGCUGAAGGGCAUGGGAAAUGAGGAAGAACGAGUACUUUUGGAAUGUACGGGCUCAGAACGCUGCUUCUAGGUGAUUUUAACAACUCUGCCUUCAGCACAGUCAAAAAGCCAAAUGGUUGGAGUGGGUAAAUGUUCCCAUGGCUGCCACAAAGACUUAAAAAACAAACAAACAAAAAAA